rnacentral:rRNA from 1 species
UACGUAGGGGGCAAGCGUUGUCCGGAAUCAUUGGGCGUAAAGCGCGUGUAGGCGGUUCGAUAAGUCUGCUGUGAAAGUCCAGGGCUCAACCCUGGGAUGCCGGUGGAUACUGUCGGACUAGAGUACGGAAGAGGCGAGUGGAAUUCCCGGUGUAGCGGUGAAAUGCGCAGAUAUCAGGAAGAACACCCGUAGCGAAGGCGGCUCUCUGGGACGGUACUGACGCUGAGACGCGAAAGCGUGGGGAGCGAACAGG